rnacentral:rRNA from 1 species
UACGGGAGGCAGCAGUGAGGAAUAUUGGUCAAUGGACGAGAGUCUGAACCAGCCAAGUAGCGUGAAGGAUGAAGGUCCUACGGAUUGUAAACUUCUUUUAUAAGGGAAUAAAACCUCCCACGUGUGGGAGCUUGUAUGUACCUUAUGAAUAAGCAUCGGCUAACUCCGUGCCAGCAGCCGCGGUAAUACGGAGGAUGCGAGCGUUAUCCGGAUUUAUUGGGUUUAAAGGGAGCGCAGACGGGUCGUUAAGUCAGCUGUGAAAGUUUGGGGCUCAACCUUAAAAUUGCAGUUGAUACUGGCGUCCUUGAGUGCGGUUGAGGUGUGCGGAAUUCGUGGUGUAGCGGUGAAAUGCUUAGAUAUCACGAAGAACUCCGAUUGCGAAGGCAGCACACUAAGCCGUAA